rnacentral:rRNA from 1 species
AGUGAACGCUGGCGGUAGGCCUAACACAUGCAAGUCGAACGGCAGCACAGUAAGAGCUUGCUCUUACGGGUGGCGAGUGGCGGACGGGUGAGGAAUACAUCGGAAUCUACUUUUUCGUGGGGGAUAACGUAGGGAAACUUACGCUAAUACCGCAUACGACCUACGGGUGAAAGCAGGGGAUCUUCGGACCUUGCGCGAUUGAAUGAGCCGAUGUCGGAUUAGCUAGUUGGCGGGGUAAAGGCCCACCAAGGCGACGAUCCGUAGCUGGUCUGAGAGGAUGAUCAGCCACACUGGAACUGAGACACGGUCCAGACUCCUACGGGAGGCAGCAGUGGGGAAUAUUGGACAGUGGGCGCAAGCCUGAUCCAGCCAUACCGCGUGGGUGAAGAGGGCCUUCGGGUUGUAAAGCCCUUUUGUUGGGAAAGAAAAGCAGCAGGUUAAUACCCCGCUGUUCUGACGGUACCCAAAGAAUAAGCACCGGCUAACUUCGU